rnacentral:rRNA from 1 species
GACGAACGCUGGCGGCGUGCUUAACACAUGCAAGUCGAACGGUAAGGCCCUUCGGGGUACACGAGUGGCGAACGGGUGAGUAACACGUGGGUGAUCUGCCCUGCACUUCGGGAUAAGCCUGGGAAACUGGGUCUAAUACCGGAUAGGACCACUGCCUGCAUGGGUGGUGGUGGGAAGCUUUUGCGGUGUGGGAUGGGCCCGCGGCCUAUCAGCCUGUUGGUGGGGUAAUGGCCUACCAAGGCGACGACGGGUAGCCGGCCUGAGAGGGUGUCCGGCCACACUGGGACUGAGAUACGGCCCAGACUCCUACGGGAGGCGGCAGUGGGGAAUAUUGCACAAUGGGCGCAAGCCUGAUGCAGCGACGCCGCGUGGGGGAUGACGGCCUUCGGGUUGUAAACCUCUUUCAGUAGGGACGAAGCGCAAGUGACGGUACCUACAGAAGAAGCACCGGCCAACUACGUGCCAGCAGCCGCAGUAA